UACGUAGGGUGCGAGCGUUAAUCGGAAUUACUGGGCGUAAAGCGCACGUAGGCGGCUUUGCAAGUUAGAGGUGAAAGCCCGGGGCUCAACUCCGGAAUUGCCUUUAAAACUGCAUCGCUAGAAUUGUGGAGAGGUAAGUGGAAUGCCGAGUGUAGAGGUGAAAUUCGUAGAUAUUCGGAAGAACACCAGUGGCGAAGGCGACUUACUGGACACAUAUUGACGCUGAGGUGCGAAAGCGUGGGGAGCAAACAGG
rnacentral:rRNA from 1 species